GUGAAGUGAUGAUGACGUUUAUCCAUUCUCUGAGUGUUGCUUCUCUGCCCUUCCUACCGCAUUCAGGGUCCUGUUCUAGGGUCUUGUGUGUUGUGUGGCUUCCAGGCAUCUUGGUGUCUUCCAGUGUUCUACUGGGGGCUGCUGGGAUGUUUGGCAGGCUGCCGGCAGGGCCUGGGCAGUGCAAGCAGGGUCAGAGCCCCUUCUUAUAGGGCUCUGUCUCUACCAAGAAGAGUGAAACGGUCUGAUCAC
ensembl:snoRNA